rnacentral:rRNA from 1 species
GAUCAUGGCUCAGGAUGAACGCUAGCUACAGGCUUAACACAUGCAAGGUCGAGGGGCAGCAUUUCAGUUUGCUUGCAAACUGGAGAUGGCGACCGGCGCACGGGUGAGUAACACGUAUCCAACCUGCCGAUAACUCGGGGAUAGCCUUUCGAAAGAAAGAUUAAUACCCGAUGGUAUAAUUAGACCGCAUGGUCUUGUUAUUAAAGGAAUUUCGGUUAUCGAUGGGGAUGCGUUCCAUUAGG